rnacentral:misc_RNA from 1 species
CCGAGUUUACAACUCCCAAACCCCUGUGAACAUACCUAUACGUUGCCUCGGCGGAUCAGCCCGCGCCCCGUAGAAAGGGACGGCCCGCCCGAGGACCCCUAAACUCUGUUUUUAGUGGAACUUCUGAGUAAAACAAACAAAUAAAUCA